ACGUAGGUGACAAGCGUUGUCCGGAUUUACUGGGUGUAAAGGGCGCGUAGGCGGACUGUCAAGUCAGUCGUGAAAUACCGGGGCUUAACCCCGGGGCUGCGAUUGAAACUGACAGCCUUGAGUAUCGGAGAGGAAAGCGGAAUUCCUAGUGUAGCGGUGAAAUGCGUAGAUAUUAGGAGGAACACCAGUGGCGAAGGCGGCUUUCUGGACGACAACUGACGCUGAGGCGCGAAAGUGUGGGGAGCAAACAG
rnacentral:rRNA from 2 species